GAUGAAGAACGUAGCAAAAUGCGAUACUUGGUGUGAAUUGCAGAAUCCCGUGAACCAUCGAGUUUUUGAACGCAAGUUGCGCCCGAAGCCUUUUGGCCGAGGGCACGUCUGCCUGGGCGUCACGCAUCGCGUCGCCCCCCACAAUUCUCCGUAAAGGGAACGUGUGUUUUGGGGGCGGAUAUUGGUCUCCCGUGCUCAUGGCGUGGUUGGCCGAAAUAGGAGUCCUUUCGAUGGACGCACGAACUAGUGGUGGUCGUAAAAACCCUCGUCUUUUGUUUCUUGCUGUUGCUCGCAAGGUAAACUCUUUAAAAACCCCAAUGUGUCGUCUCUUGACGACGCUUCGACCGCGACCCCAGGUCAGGCGGGACUACCCGCUGAGUUUAAGCAUAUCAAUAAGCGGAGGA
rnacentral:misc_RNA from 1 species